rnacentral:rRNA from 1 species
GAUGAACGCUGGCGGCGUGCCUAAUACAUGCAAGUCGAGCGAACGGACGAUAAGCUUGCUGCUCUGAUGUUAGCGGCGGACGGGUGUGUAACACGUGUAUAAUCUACCUAUAAUACUGGGAUAACUUCGGGAAACCGGCGCUAAUACCGUAUAAUAUUUUGAACCGCAUGGUUCAAAAGUGAAAUACGGUCUUGCUGUCACUUAUAGAUGGAUCCGCGCUGCAUUAGCUAGUUGGGAAGUUAACGGCUUACCAAGGCAACGAUGCAUAGCCGAAGGGAGAGAGUGGUAGGCCACACUGGAGGUGGAACGGGGUCAAGACGCCUGAGGGAGGCAGCAGAAGGGAAUGUGAGGCAGUGGGCGGGAGCCUGACGCAGCGACGCGGAGUGAGUGAUGGAAGUCUUCGGAGCGUAAAAAUGUGUUAUUAGGGAAGAACAGAUGUGUAAGUAGCUGUGCACAGAGUGACGGUACCUGAUCAGAAAGCAACGGCUAACUACGUG